rnacentral:rRNA from 1 species
AGAGUUUGAUCCUGGCUCAGGAUGAACGCUAGCGGCAGGCUUAACACAUGCAAGUCGAGGGGUAGAAGAAGCUUGCUUCUUUGAGACCGGCGCACGGGUGCGUAACGCGUAUGCAAUCUACCUUUCACAAAGGGAUAGCCCAGAGAAAUUUGGAUUAAUACCUUAUAGUAAUACGMCUUGGCAUCAAGAUGUAUUUAAAGAUUUAUCGGUGAAAGAUGAGCAUGCGUCCCAUUAGCUAGUUGGUAUGGUAACGGCAUACCAAGGCUACGAUGGGUAGGGGUCCUGAGAGGGAGAUCCCCCACACUGGUACUGAGACACGGACCAGACUCCUACGGGAGGCAGCAGUGAGGAAUAUUGGACAAUGGGCGCAAGCCUGAUCCAGCCAUGCCGCGUGCAGGAUGACGGUCCUAUGGAUUGUAAACUGCUUUUAUACAGGAAGAAACACCUCUACGUGUAGAGACUUGACGGUACUGUAAGAAUAAGGAUCGGCUAACUCCGUGCCAGCAGCCGCGGUAAUACGGAGGAUCCAAGCGUUAUCCGGAAUCAUUGGGUUUAAAGGGUCCGUAGGCGGUCAGAUAAGUCAGUGGUGAAAGCCCAUUCGCUCAACGGUGGAACGGCCAUUGAUACUGUCUGACUUGAAUUAUUAGGAAGUAACUAGAAUAUGUAGUGUAGCGGUGAAAUGCUUAGAGAUUACAUGGAAUACCAAUUGCGAAGGCAGGUUACUACUAAUAUAUUGACGCUGAUGGACGAAAGCGUGGGUAGCGAACAGGAUUAGAUACCCUGGUAGUCCACGCCGUAAACGAUGGAUACUAGCUGUUGGGCGCAAGUUCAGUGGCUAAGCGAAAGUGAUAAGUAUCCCACCUGGGGAGUACGAACGCAAGUUUGAAACUCAAAUGAAUUGACGG